GAACUAUGCCUGAGCGGGGUA
rnacentral:siRNA from 1 species